GCCAGUCCACGUGGUAAUUUUGGAAGGGCCCUGGGAUAUCUGACCUUAUGAUGGUAGAAAAGGCUUGGACUACAUGUUUGGUUUGAAGUUUGAAAAUCUCAGUCCUUCCCCAACCAUCAAAAAUAUUUACCUCCCUCCCUUGUCUCACAAUCAUCUAAGCUGCCUUCUUGAAUUGACUCCCACACCUGUUCAUCAUAGAAGGAAAAAAAUAAAAGCAAAUGCCAUAUAAAAUCUCUCUUCUUCAACAAGGUCUUCUGUUUUGAAAUAUUGAAACAGUUCCUGUUCUAUUACCUCACCAGCUGUGGCCUUUUAUCUCCUAAAGGGAAUAGCUGACGUCUUACCAGUCAAAGUCAUUGUGCUUACGGACGCCAUAAAUAUCUCCUUUAAAUCCUACAUGAUAAAUUUCCCUCUGAUUGGUAAAGCAGAUACUGUAACAUGCAAAGGGGGAGCAGGAGAGUCUUUGAUGAUGUUAAACUAAGCCCCUGGAGAUAUCCCAGCUCUUCCUCCAGAAUUUUACUUUCCAACAACUGGAGUCAACAAAUACGGUAGAAAAUGUUGUCUGGAUUAUCUACUCCCAUUAUUUUUUUUUAAACUGGUUUUCAAUGAUGGGCAACCUAAAAUUUACUCACACAGAACACAAAACAGUUGAAUUUGUUAAAAGUCCAAAAUGUGCUUUUGUACUUUUGUAAAAUGGGAAUGUGCUUCUUGUACAAAUCACAAUAUGCUUUCUAGACCACAACCUAAAAAGGAAAGAAAAAAAUCCUGUGAAUAAAAAAAAAAAACAAGGACUUUCAGUUUUCUACAUGCAUUUGAAAUGACUUUAUCUCUGACUCAUGUUCUACUUUAUUUUUGAUUGGGAAGACCUGUUCCUAUACUGUAAUUUUUUUUUAAUAAUAAGUUUCCAUUUGUAACUAUUAGUUGGUCUUUCCACAAAAUUGGUUUGCUGGAAAGGACUGAGAAGAGAAAGAGCAUUCCUGGAUCAAUGGAACUGAUGAGUGUGGAAGUCCUUGAACUUGACCAAGCAUUGUCAAUUCUCAUAGUCUGACCAAAAAAAAACUAGAUUAUUUUGUGUGUUUUUCUUGGUGCUCCUAAUGUAAGUUUAUUCAAAUUGGGGGGGGGGCGGUGGGGGGAACAAACAAGUAGACUGCAGUUGUAAGAGAAAAAAGGUGAAAAUAAAU
rnacentral:lncRNA from 1 species